UACAGAGGUCUCAAGCGUUGUUCGGAUUCAUUGGGCGUAAAGGGUGCGUAGGUGGCGCCGUAAGUCGGGUGUGAAAUUUCGGAGCUUAACUCCGGAACUGCAUUCGAUACUGCCGUGCUUGAGGACUGGAGAGGAGACUGGAAUUUACGGUGUAGCGGUGAAAUGCGUAGAUAUCGUAAGGAAGACCAGUGGCGAAGGCGGGUCUCUGGACAGUUCCUGACGCUGAGGCACGAAGGUCAGGGGAGCAAACGGG
rnacentral:rRNA from 1 species